ACGAACGCUGGCGGCGUGCUUAACACAUGCAAGUCGAACGGUAAGGCUCCAGCUUGCUGGGGUACACGAGUGGCGAACGGGUGAGUAACACGUGGGUGACCUGCCCUGCACUUCGGGAUAAGCCUGGGAAACUGGGUCUAAUACCGGAUAGGACCAUGGUGUGGAUACUGUGGUGGAAAGUUUUUUCGGUGUGGGAUGGCCCGCGGCCUAUCAGCUUGUUGGUGGGGUAAUGGCCUACCAAGGCGGCGACGGGUAGCCGGCCUGAGAGGGUGGACGGCCACAUUGGGACUGAGACACGGCCCAGACUCCUACGGGAGGCAGCAGUGGGGAAUAUUGCACAAUGGGCGGAAGCCUGAUGCAGCGACGCCGCGUGGGGGAUGACGGCCUUCGGGUUGUAAACUCCUUUCACCAUCGACGAAGGGUUUCUGACGGUAGAUGGAGAAGAAGCACCGGCUAACUACGUG
rnacentral:rRNA from 1 species